rnacentral:rRNA from 1 species
AAUAGAUACCCCGGUAGUCCACGCCGUAAACGAUGAUGACUAGCUGUCCGGGCACUUAGUGCUUGGGUGGCGCAGACUAACGACGUUAAGUCAUCCCGCCGUGGGGAGUACGGCCGCAAGGUUAAACUCAAAGAAAUUGACGGGGGCCGUGCACAAGCGGUGGAGCAUGUGGUUUUAAUUCGAAGCAACGCGCAGAACCUUACCAGCGUUUGACAUGGUAGGACGGUUUCCAGAGAUGGAUUCCUUCCCUUACGGGACCUACACACAGGUGCUGCAUGGCUGUCGUCAGCUCGUGUCGUGAGAUGUUGGGUUAAGUCCCGCAACGAGCGCAACCCUCGUCUUUAGUUGCCAUCAUUUAGUUGGGCACGUCUAAGGAAACUGCCGGUGAUAAGCCGGAGGAAGGUGGGGAUGACGUCAAGGUCCUCAUGGCCCUUACGCGCUGGGCUACACACGUGCUACAAUGGCGUGACAACGGGCAGCAAACUCGCGAGAGUGAGCAAAUCCCAAAAAGCCGUCUCAGUUCGGAUUGUUCUCUG